rnacentral:rRNA from 1 species
GUCGAGAAUCUUUCACAAUGGGGGCAACCCUGAUGGAGCGACGCUGCGUGGAGGAUAAGGUCUUCGGAUUGUAAACUCCUGUCAUGCGUGAACAAGGUUGCUUGGUUAAUACCUGGGCAAAUUGAUGGUAACGCAAGAGGAAGAGACGGCUAACUCUGUGCCAGCAGCCGCGGUAAUACAGAGGUCUCAAGCGUUGUUCGGAAUCACUGGGCGUAAAGGGUGCGUAGGUGGCGUGGUAAGUCAGAUGUGAAAGCCCGGGGCUCAACCUCGGAACUGCAUCCGAUACUGCCAUGCUAGAGUACUGGAGAGGUGACUAGAAUUCUCGGUGUAGCAGUGAAAUGCGUAGAUAUCGAGAGGAAUACCAAAGGCGUAGGCAGGUCACUGGACAGUUACUGACACUGAGGCACGAAGGCCAGGGGAGCGAACGGGAUUAGAAACCCCAGUAGUCC